rfam:Triticum aestivum genome assembly, contig: Triticum_aestivum_CS42_TGACv1_scaffold_160719_2DL
AUAGUACUCUCUCCGUCCGGAAAUACUUGUCAUAGAAAUGGAUACAAGUGAGUGUAUUUAGAACUAAAAUACAUCUAGACACAUUCAUUCCUUAGACAAGUAUUUCCGGACGGAGGGAGUAUAAA